GACGAACGCUGGCGGCGUGCUUAACACAUGCAAGUCGAACGGGAAGGCCCUGCUUUUGUGGGGUGCUCGAGUGGCGAACGGGUGAGUAACACGUGAGUAACCUGCCCUUGACUUUGGGAUAACUUCAGGAAACUGGGGCUAAUACCGGAUAGGAGCUCCUGCUGCAUGGUGGGGGUCGGAAAGUUUCGGCGGUUGGGGAUGGACUCGCGGCUUAUCAGCUUGUUGGUGGGGUAGUGGCUUACCAAGGCUUUGACGGGUAGCCGGCCUGAGAGGGUGACCGGCCACAUUGGGACUGAGAUACGGCCCAGACUCCUACGGGAGGCAGCAGUGGGGAAUAUUGCACAAUGGGCGGAAGCCUGAUGCAGCAACGCCGCGUGCGGGAUGACGGCCUUCGGGUUGUAAACCGCUUUCGCCUGUGACGAAGCGUGAGUGACGGUAAUGGGUAAAGAAGCACCGGCUAACUACGUGCCAGCAGCCGCGGUGAUACGUAGGGUGCGAGCGUUGUCCGGAUUUAUUGGGCGUAAAGGGCUCGUAGGUGGUUGAUCGCGUCGGAAGUGUAAUCUUGGGGCUUAACCCUGAGCGUGCUUUCGAUACGGGUUGACUUGAGGAAGGUAGGGGAGAAUGGAAUUCCUGGUGGAGCGGUGGAAUGCGCAGAUAUCAGGAGGAACACCAGUGGCGAAGGCGGUUCUCUGGGCCUUUCCUGACGCUGAGGAGCGAAAGCGUGGGGAGCGAACAGGCUUAGAUACCCUGGUAGUCCACGCUGUAAACGGUGGGUACUAGGUGUGGGGUCCAUUCCACGGGUUCCGUGCCGUAGCUAACGCUUUAAGUACCCCGCCUGGGGAGUACGGCCGCAAGGCUAAAACUCAAAGGAAUUGACGGGGCCCCGCACAAGCGGCGGAGCAUGCGGAUUAAUUCGAUGCAACGCGUAGAACCUUACCUGGGUUUGACAUGGAUCGGGAGCGCUCAGAGAUGGGUGUGCCUCUUUUGGGGUCGGUUCACAGGUGGUGCAUGGCUGUCGUCAGCUCGUGUCGUGAGAUGUUGGGUUAAGUCCCGCAACGAGCGCAACCCUUGUUCACUGUUGCCAGCACGUUAUGGUGGGGACUCAGUGGAGACCGCCGGGGUCAACUCGGAGGAAGGUGGGGAUGACGUCAAGUCAUCAUGCCCCUUAUGUCCAGGGCUUCACGCAUGCUACAAUGGCUGGUACAGAGAGUGGCGAGCCUGUGAGGGUGAGCGAAUCUCGGAAAGCCGGUCUCAGUUCGGAUUGGGGUCUGCAACUCGACCUCAUGAAGUCGGAGUCGCUAGUAAUCGCAGAUCAGCAACGCUGCGGUGAAUACGUUCCCGGG
rnacentral:rRNA from 1 species